rnacentral:rRNA from 1 species
AUUGAACGCUGGCGGCAGGCUUAACACAUGCAAGUCGAACGAAGUGGCGAACGGGUGAGUAACGCGUAAUCAACCUGCCCUUCAGAGGGGGACAACAGUUGGAAACGACUGCUAAUACCGCAUACUGAAGGAGGGGAUUGCGUCUGAUUAGCUAGGUGGGGGGGUAACGGCCCACCAAGGCGAUGAUCAGUAGCCGGUCUGAGAGGAGGAACGGCCAAAUUGGGACUGAGACACGGCCCAGACUCCUACGGGAGGCAGCAGGGGGGAAUCGUCCGCAAUGGACGAAAGUCUGACGGAGCAACGCCGCGGGAGGGAUGACGGCCUUCGGGUUGUAAAGCUCUGUUAAUCGGGACGCGGUACCGGAAUAGAAAGCCACGGCUAACUACGUGCCAGCCGCCGCGGUAAUUC